UACGUAGGUGGCAAGCGUUGUCCGGAAUUAUUGGGCGUAAAGCGCGCGCAGGCGGCCUUUUAAGUCUGAUGUGAAAGCCCACGGCUCAACCGUGGAAGGUCAUUGGAAACUGAAAGGCUUGAGUACAGAAGAGGAAAGCGGAAUUCCACGUGUAGCGGUGAAAUGCGUAGAGAUGUGGAGGAACACCAGUGGCGAAGGCGGCUUCUGGUCUGUAACUGACGCUGAGGCGCGAAAGCGUGGGGAGCAAAC
rnacentral:rRNA from 1 species